GUGAGAACUCCUCCAUUAAUAGCAUUUCAGCAACAGGGGCACGAAAAAAGCAAAAACAGAGUUCCAACUUCAGCUGACUUCAUCGAUGUUCAGAAGGGCAAAAUAAUCAACAUGGUGAAAUGAUCCAUCCGAAUGAUGGCCUUUCUGAUUAGAUAUCUACCAAGUUUCUUUGCAGCUCAGAGCAAAGUUUUCGAUAGUAGUGUUUGGGAUUCCAAAUGUGAGCUGAAAAGUUUGGAGUCACAAGCUGUGAGGAAAGAAUGGUCAUCUUGGAACUCUGCAUUGAAAUAAUUUUGCUCCUGCUCUAACAGACUCCUAUUCCUCUCAACCCACUUUACCUGCUUCUACAGUUCCCCAUGAGGGAUUGUGACAAUUGUCAAUGUUCAAAACAGGUUCACAAUGGGAAAAUGUUUCAGAAGCGCUGGCUUAAAGAAUGGAGAAAGACCUAUUAGUUUAUUUUCUGACAUUACAUUUAAAAUUGUACUUAAUGUGAACUAUAUA